UACGUAGGGGGCAAGCGUUGUCCGGAAUCAUUGGGCGUAAAGCGCGUGUAGGCGGCCCGAUAAGUCCGCUGUGAAAUUCCAGGGCUCAACCCUGGGAUGCCGGUGGAUACUGUCGGGCUCGAGUCCGGAAGAGGAGUGUGGAAUUCCUGGUGUAGCGGUGAAAUGCGCAGAUAUCGGGAGGAACACCAGUAGCGAAGGCGGCCCGCUGGGCCAGUCCUGACGCUGAGACGCGAAAGCGAGGGGAGCGAACAGG
rnacentral:rRNA from 1 species